GACGAACGCUGGCGGCGUGCCUAACACAUGCAAGUCGAGCGGAGACAGUGAGUAGCUUGCUAUGAAUUGUUUUAGCGGCGGACGGGUGAGUAGCGCGUGAGCAACCUUUCCCAGACAGGGGAAUAACACACCGAAAGGUGUACUAAUACCGCAUAAGACCACGGGAUCACAUGGUUCUGAGGUAAAAGAUUUAUCGGUUUGGGGUGGGCUCGCGUCCGAUUAGGUAGUUGGUGAGGUAACGGCCCACCAAGCCGACGAUCGGUAGCCGACCUGAGAGGGUGAUCGGCCACAUUGGGACUGAGACACGGCCCAAACUCCUACGGGAGGCAGCAGUGGGGAAUAUUGGGCAAUGGAGAAAACUCUGACCCAGCAACGCCGCGUGGAGGAAGAAGGUUUUCGGAUCGUAAACUCCUGUCCUUGGAGACGAGUAGAAGACGGUAUCCAAGGAGGAAGCCCCGGCUAACUACGUGCCAGCAGCCGCCGCAG
rnacentral:rRNA from 1 species